rnacentral:lncRNA from 1 species
AAAAAAGUUAGAAAUUUACCUGGAGGCGAGAGGGACCAAACGACCGCGACGAACAUUGAAUUCCUGGUAAACUUAUCCAAAUUAAUUAAUGUUUAUAUAUAAUUGUAUGGUGCACUUGUAGUAAUAUAACAAAAUAAGAUUGUUAGAGAUGAUUUAAUUGUAGGAUAGUUACAAAUGCAUAUUUUAUUAAAUUCAAAGUGACAUAGGGUUGAUUGGGAUAAUGAUGACCAAUGAUUACUUAAUCAUUGGAACAUUGAAUUUCUCAUGCAUUUAUAUGCAUAAUUCUUAAAAAAAGAUACUUGGCAGUAUGCAUUUGAAGAAAGGGAAAAAAUGUUUUCUCGGCAUUACUGUAUUUCUUGAUUUUCUUAAUUAAUUCUUAAUAGUAUUUAUUUUAUUAAAUUAUGAUACUAGUUUUUGAUAUAUUGAGAUAGAUAAUUAAUUAUUAAGUGUAUAUUAUAUGAUUUAACAUUGAAUUUUAGGGUAUUUGGAGAGGUUUAAGAUAGGUUCUUGACUUGAAAUUUAGCACGUACGAUAAUUUUGGCAUACAAAUUAUAUCAAGAUUUGGAGCUUGAUUAGAAGUAUGAGUGAAUUUAUUUGGGUCUAUGAUAGGAACAUAAUAAUAUGAAUGUCUACAAACUCGCUUACUUGUGAAUAUUGCAUCAUUGGUAGAUCGUGAACAUUACGAAACUUUGCAAAAAGGGAAGGAACUAUCUUGAAGAUUCUUGACACGAAUUCGGCACUUGAGGUAUGUUAAGACUUUUUAGACUUGUUGAAGUACGUUUUCCUAAUUAAAGAAAAAAAAAAGACAAUGGGUAAGGGCGAAAGAUGGGGGAUCUUGUAUCAAUGGUGUGAUGGCAUUGGUACUAGUACCGGUGUUACAAAAGGGAAAGUUACUACUAUAGAAUGUGUAUUGAAAAUUGAAAAAUACCAAAGCAUAUGGGCAUUAGAUGAUGUAUUACUGACUUGAAAUCCUCGUGUGAUUCUGUUUUCUUUGUUACACCCGUAUAGUUGUGAUUAUUUAGGUGGUUAUGUAUUAUGUUCAUAUUGAUUGAUUGAGAUGCAUCAUCAUCCCCUAUAUUGAGAUAAUAUUGUGCACAUGCAUAGACAUGAGACUUAGUAUAAGUUGGGCACGUGGAGAUCGUCCGUGCUGGGGAUGGUGAGAUGUUAAGAUUGUAAUUUGGGCACGUAGAGACCCUCCAUGCGAAAAUUGUUUGAUAUUAUGAUAGUGCGUUGAGAUCAUCCGCACAGACAUGUGGAGAUCGUCCAUGUCGGUAUAUGGACCUCGCGAGUCCCCCAUGGGUCAUGAGCUCUCGAUGUAUUUCCGAGGAGUAUCAUGUAUAUACGAUUGAGUGAGUACUGGGUAUUCUGAAAAGAUUCAUUACAUGGUAUCAUAUUGCAUUGCAUUCCAUCACAUCAUUUAUUUUUGAUGAUUAUGUGUUUUGUUUGGUGUUUGCAAAGUACUUGAUGUUUGAUUACCUUUUUUAAUGAACUUAAAUAGUGAGUGUAAUAUAUAUAUAUAUAUAUAUAUAUAUAUAUAUAUAUAUAUAUAUAUAUAUAUAUAUAUAUAUAUAUACUUAUAUAAUUCAAGAAUUUAUUUUUUAUAUAAACUCUCG